UACGAAGGGGGCUAGCGUUGCUCGGAAUCACUGGGCGUAAAGCGCACGUAGGCGGAUCUUUAAGUCAGGGGUGAAAUCCCAAGGCUCAACCUUGGAACUGCCUUUGAUACUGGGGAUCUCGAGUCCGGAAGAGGUUGGUGGAACUGCGAGUGUAGAGGUGAAAUUCGUAGAUAUUCGCAAGAACACCAGUGGCGAAGGCGGCCAACUGGUCCGGUACUGACGCUGAGGUGCGGAAAGCGUGGGGAGCAAACAGG
rnacentral:rRNA from 1 species